rnacentral:rRNA from 1 species
UUAACUGAAUCCAUAGGUUAAUGAGGCGAACCGGGGGAACUGAAACAUCUAAGUACCCCGAGGAAAAGAAAUCAACCGAGAUUCCCCCAGUAGCGGCGAGCGAACGGGGAGCAGCCCAGAGCCUGAAUCAGUAUGUGUGUUAGUGGAAGCGUCUGGAAAGGCGCGCGAUACAGGGUGACAGCCCCGUACACAAAAAUGCACAUGCUGUGAGCUCGAUGAGUAGGGCGGGACACGUGGUAUCCUGUCUGAAUAUGGGGGGACCAUCCUCCAAGGCUAAAUACUCCUGACUGACCGAUAGUGAACCAGUACCGUGAGGGAAAGGCGAAAAGAACCCCGGCGAGGGGAGUGAAAAAGAACCUGAAACCGUGUACGUACAAGCAGUGGGAGCACGCUUAGGCGUGUGACUGCGUACCUUUUGUAUAAUGGGUCAGCGACUUAUAUUCUGUAGCAAGGUUAACCGAAUAGGGGAGCCGAAGGGAAACCGAGUCUUAACUGGGCGUUAAGUUGCAGGGUAUAGACCCGAAACCCGGUGAUCUAGCCAUGGGCAGGUUGAAGGUUGGGUAACACUAACUGGAGGACCGAACCGACUAAUGUUGAAAAAUUAGCGGAUGACUUGUGGCUGGGGGUGAAAGGCCAAUCAAACCGGGAGAUAGCUGGUUCUCCCCGAAAGCUAUUUAGGUAGCGCCUCGUGAAUUCAUCUCCGGGGGUAGAGCACUGUUUCGGCAAGGGGGUCAUCCCGACUUACCAACCCGAUGCAAACUGCGAAUACCGGAGAAUGUUAUCACGGGAGACACACGGCGGGUGCUAACGUCCGUCGUGAAGAGGGAAACAACCCAGACCGCCAGCUAAGGUCCCAAAGUCAUGGUUAAGUGGGAAACGAUGUGGGAAGGCCCAGACAGCCAGGAUGUUGGCUUAGAAGCAGCCAUCAUUUAAAGAAAGCGUAAUAGCUCACUGGUCGAGUCGGCCUGCGCGGAAGAUGUAACGGGGCUAAACCAUGCACCGAAGCUGCGGCAGCGACGCUGAUGCGUUGUUGGGUAGGGGAGCGUUCUGUAAGCCUGCGAAGGUGUGCUGUGAGGCAUGCUGGAGGUAUCAGAAGUGCGAAUGCUGACAUAAGUAACGAUAAAGCGGGUGAAAAGCCCGCUCGCCGGAAGACCAAGGGUUCCUGUCCAACGUUAAUCGGGGCAGGGUGAGUCGACCCCUAAGGCGAGGCCGAAAGGCGUAGUCGAUGGGAAACAGGUUAAUAUUCCUGUACUUGGUGUUACUGCGAAGGGGGGACGGAGAAGGCUAUGUUGGCCGGGCGACGGUUGUCCCGGUUUAAGCGUGUAGGCUGGUUUUCCAGGCAAAUCCGGAAAAUCAAGGCUGAGGCGUGAUGACGAGGCACUGCGGUGCUGAAGCAACAAAUGCCCUGCUUCCAGGAAAAGCCUCUAAGCAUCAGGUAACAUCAAAUCGUACCCCAAACCGACACAGGUGGUCAGGUAGAGAAUACCAAGGCGCUUGAGAGAACUCGGGUGAAGGAACUAGGCAAAAUGGUGCCGUAACUUCGGGAGAAGGCACGCUGAUAUGUAGGUGAAGUCCCUCGCG